rfam:Stegodyphus mimosarum contig119914, whole genome shotgun sequence.
AAAACGGCCCUUUUAAGGGCUACUUACGUUUGCUUGAUAAAGUUA